UUUGGUGUGGCCAACACUACAAACGCUCCUGUGCUCGACAGUGAUGGCAACGAGCUCCGCACUGGCACCCCAUACUUCGUUGUGUCGUCGAUAUGGGGUGCUGGUGGUGGGGGGCUUGACCCAGGCAGGCCUAGAGGAAAGCCAUGCCCGGAAGUCGUUGCUCAAAGAGGAUCUGGUGACAAUGGUAUUCCGGUGAUAUUUUCUAAUUCGGACUCCAAAGAUGGCGUUGUUCGCCUAUCCUCUGACAUAAACAUAGCGUUCGUUCCCCUCAGACCCAAAUUUUGCGAAACAACAACGGUGUGGAAGGUCGCUGAUUACGACCACUCAGCCGGAAAAUGGUGGGUGAUAACCGAUGGGGUUAAAGGGAACCCAGGUGCCAACACUUUGACCAGUUGGUUUAGAAUAGAGAAGACGACUACUGAUUUUGAUUACACAUUUAAGUACUGCCCCGCAGUAUGUGGAACAUGCCCAGCCUUAUGCAACAAAAUUGUGAGAGACUUUGAUGGAGAAAUGGUACGUUUGGCUCUCACCACUGGCCAUGGAUGGCCAUUUAUCUUUAAGAAAGUUGGAAAAUCAGCCAUGGAGAUUGAACAAGUUGUUCAUAAUUAGAUUGAAAGCAAUCAUUAUGCAUGAACUAGUAGUUACUACAUAAUAUUAGCUUCAAGUAAAUAAUGCUGAGGGAACUUAUUGUUAAGAUUGCCUUGUUUGAAGCGGCAGCAUGUAUAUAUAUAUGCUUGCUUACAAGGUUUGUCUCUCAGAGUCCUCCUCUUUGUACUCUUUUCAGCUUAAUGAAUAAACUGUUUACUUAUUUACUUCUUUUGUUGCCAUUGAUUCUAGUAGCAUUCGACUCAUUAACUUGGAUACAUUACCUUGUAAUUAACCAAAAAGUUAUGUGUAUAUGUAUAAAGAGUGUGUGAGAGAAAAAAUAGAAUACCAAGUACCAAGUGAAAAAUGUUAAUACUAGGAUUAUUCAAAGCGAUUUCAAUGAACAGAAAUGGAAUAGUCGUCGGGUGGUUAGGGCAUUUUAUCUUUAGAGAUAAAGAAGGUUGGUUCAUGUUCGGAGUUUGUGGCUACUCAUUUAAUAAUAUCGUUUUUAAAGUUUAAACUUGUAUCACAUUUUAAACACGUAAUGUAUCUUACCAUUACAUCCAACAAUAUUAACCAUUUACUCUAUUGUAUUGUAUUCUAUUCUAUUAUUAAUUAAUGAUUAUGAUAUGUAUUAAGUUUAAGAUGAAUUUUCUCAGUAAUGUAUAUCAAUGAAAUCAAAUAUUUGUAUUUAAAGUUUUAACUCCACAUUAACUUUUUCUUUAUUUUGUCCGUUUGCUGGCGAUGAUUAGGAGAUUAAUGGUUGGUAUUUGUGGUUAGUAGCUUAUAACUCGAGGGUUGAUAGUGGCCCGACUCCACUUAAAUAAAAAAUUUUACAUUUAAAUUUCUUUAUAAUUUAUAAAAUUUUAAAUUAAUAAUAAAAAAAUUAUAUUUUAACUCUCUAAAAUUAAUAAAAAUGAUAAAAAUGUAGAAGUAAAUUUAUACAAUUAAUGAUAAUAAUGAUAAGAAGUUGUUUCCUAUCACAUGGAAAUUUAUGGCAUCUUCCAUUUGGUUUUAUAUUUGUCCAUUUGCUUGGUUAAGAGUUGAAAGACAAACUAUAAUUAAAUAUACAAAACCAAACGAAUUUCAAGGGUUUUCUCUUCAAUUAUUGUCGAAUUUAGCUAAUUAUUAGUAAUAUUUAUUAUUUAAUUAUAAAAAUUAUAAAAUAGUGACUUAAUUAUAAAUAUAUAUAUAUAUAUAAAAUAGCCAUCUAAUUAUUUAAUUUUUUCUUUUUUAUCAUCACCGGAAUAAUGGUGGUAAUUUUUAUAAUUGACAUAAUAGUAACUUUAACCAUUAAUAAUUAUACAUUAUGUCAAUUUAGUCUUGAUUCUAAAAAAUUUAACCUUUGACAUUUACACAUAUAUAAUUUGAUAUUUUUAUAAUUUUAUUUUUUACUAAAAAUAAAUCAUGAAAAUAAUAAAAUAUGCAUAAAAAUAAAAAUACAGCUACCGACUAUAUCUCUUAUUGUAGAUUUAUAACAAUUAUCUUUUCAUAAAGAUAUUUUAUUAUAAAAUAUAUAAUAAGCACUUCCCUGUAACAAAUAAAAUUGUAGUAAACAAAUGAAAUUAUUAUAAAGAAGAAUUUUCUAUUUUCAUAAUAAUAAUAAUAAUAAAAGAAAAGAAAAAAGUGGUUCUAUUAAUUCACCUCACAUUUGAAAUAUGUUAUAUGUAAUAAUAUUAAUGUCUUUAUCAAUUUUGGUGGUUCAUCCUUUCCCAUCUCUAUAAAUUUGCAUGCAGAACUAAAGCAACACAUAUCAACACAAUCUGUAUAACCAUGAAAACCACAACAGCUUCGGUGUUUCUUCUUUUCAUCAUCUUCUCAAUCACACCAUUGUCCUUUUCGUUUGGUGUGGCCAACACUACAAACGCUCCUGUGCUCGACAGUGAUGGCAACGAGCUCCGCACAGGCACCCCAUACUUCGUUGUGUCGUCGAUAUGGGGUGCUGGUGGUGGGGGGCUUGCCCUAGGCAUGCCUAGAGGAAAGCCAUGCCCGGAAGUCGUUGCUCAAAGAGGAUCCGGUGACGAUGGUAUUCCGGUGAUAUUUUCUAAUUCGGACUCCAACGAUGGCGUUGUUCGCCUAUCCUCUGACAUAAACAUAGAGUUCAUUCCCCUCAGACCCAGAUUUUGCCAAACAACAACGGUGUGGAAGGUCGAUGAUUACGACCACUCAGCCGGAAAAUGGUGGGUGAUAACCGAUGGGGUUAAAGGGAACCCAGGUGCCAACACUUUGACCAGUUGGUUUAGAAUAGAGAAGGCGGGUGAUCUUGAUUACACAUUUAAGUACUGCCCCGCUGUACGUGGAACAUGCCCAGCCUUAUGCAACAAAAUUACGAGAGACUCAGAUGGAGAAAUGAUACGUUUGGCUCUCUCCGCUGGCCAUGGAUGGCCAUUUUUCUUUAAGAAACUUCAAACAUCAGCCAUGGAGAUUGAACAAGUUGUUCAUAAUUAGAUUGAAAGCAAUCAUUAUGCAUGAACUAGUAGUUACUAUACAAUAUUAGCUUCAAGUAAAUAAUGCUGAGAGAACUGAUUGUUAAGAUUGCCUUGUUUGAAGCAGCAGCAUGUAUAUAUAUAUAUAUGCUUGCUUACAAGGUUUGUCUCUCAGAGUCCUUCUCUUUGUACUCUUUUCAGCUUAAUAUAUAAACUGUCUACUUAUUUACUUCUUUUAUUGCCAUUGAUUCUAGUAGUAUUAGACUCAUUAACUUGGAUACAUUGUCUUGUAAGAGAUAGCUUAUCUCUUAACAACUGUUUGGGUCAACAAAAUUAAUGUAUAUAUGAAAACGAAUAUUGAAUUUGGAUGUCCAAUCAAUUUUUUUUAAUUAAUUAAUUAAAAAGAAUUGUUUUAAUUCAAAAAAUCUAAAAGAAUUUGAUAAAAAAUGUGGAAGGGCACACUUGUAUGAUGAAUAGUAAUGAUAAUAAUCGUUUUCCUAGCACAAGUAUGGGAUUCGUCCAUUUGGUUUUAUAUUUAUCCACUUGCCUGAGUGUUUAAGAGUUAAAAGGACAAAACUAUUAAGUAGAAAACACCAAACGAAUAUGAAGGCUUUUGUCUUCUUCAAUUAGUAUGACCUAUAUUUCUUAUUAAACUUCGUAUUUUACAUUCAAUAUCAUCAUCACAAUCAUUUUAAUUUAUUUUCAUGAAUAAACUUUUAUGUCCCAUUUUAAUUGAAUCAUUAAAAAUUAUUAAUUGAAUUUUUUUUAAGUCAAGUGAUACUAAUUUGAUUUUUUUAAAAAAGUUGUUUGAAUUAAUUUGAUUUUCGUGUCAUAAUUGACAUAAAUGGCCAUUGUGAAUGGCAACAUCAAUAGUUAUUGAGUACAGCGGCUAAAAUUUUCAGUUAAAAAAAAAGAAUGAAAGGAAAACAAAAAGAAAAACGUGGAAAGAAAGAAAGAAAGAAUAAUAAUAAUAAUAAAUAAAUAAAAUAGAAUUGUGGGGGCGAUGCUUUUGAACAAAUCUUGAUUUAAACUAUAUAAAGAAAAUAUGUGUUAUAUAUAUAAUUAAUUAUGUACUUAUACUUAAUAUAUUAUAUAUCUAAUGUCAUAUUUUCAUAUUCUCAGAAAGUGGUGACAUACAAAUACUUGAUUCGAUUUAUUUCUUUAGCUCCCCGUGAAUUGUAUGUUUGUAACAUUAGGGACAGAAUUUCUUCAAUUAUCCAAUUGACUGGACGUAUUGUGUCGAUUUUUUUUUAGUAAUAUACCUAGAAAUACCCGUUGAUUCUUUAUAAACGCUGUUUCGAACACAACUGGUACACUCUAAAAUAAUUUACUUGAACAUCAUUACUCUUAGCCAUGAACCUCCUUUGAGUUUUUAAUUCACCCAACUUUUCUAUUUUCCGAUCAAAAGCAAAGAAGAAAGGAAUGAAAAAAAAAGAAAGAAAUCAAAGUUGCUAACUCAAAACCAAAUCCUGAAAAUUUUCAUUUCAAUGAAUAUAGUAAGUAAAUAUAGAUUUAUAGUAAUAGCAAAUAAUAAGAAUUAAGUAAUAUAACGAUUUUUAAUUCUAUUUAGAAUCAAUUAAAAUAUUCAAUUAAAUAUUCAAUUAAAAUAAAUUAAACUGUAUAAAUUUUAUAAUUUUAAAUUAUUAUUUUUGUAUUAAUUUAAAAACAAAAUAAAUAUUAUAUACAAUGAUUUAGUUACAGCGUGUCAGCUUGAAGUCUAAGACUUUAUAACAUAUAAAUUUAAUAGAUAAUUAAUAACUAAAAAAUUAAAUAGCAAAAGCAUAACUGCGCCACUUCUCACCAUUUUAAUGUAUGCAACUUAUUAUAUAUUUAUAUAUAUUAUCAUUUUAUUUUAAAUAAUUUAAUUUUUAUAAAUUUAGGGAUAAAUCUCAAAAUUAUACAUGAACUUUAAUUUAAUAUGCAAUUGUAUAAAUAAACUUUAAUUUGGUACAAUUAUACACGUGAUACUUUAAUUGUGGUUUAAAUACUCACUUGAAACUUUAGUUUUGAUUUAAUAAUGCAUAUUUAAAUAAAUAAAUACAUCAAUUUUUUUAUAUUGGGUAAAUAUAAUUAUUUAUGUAUGCAAUAUAUAACAUAAAAUGAUGUUAUAUCAAUAAUUGUGUUAAUAAUUUUCAAGAAUUGGAUCAAAUCAAAAUUUUAUGUAUAAAAUUGAACAAAAUCAAAGUUAAUGUAUACAAUUGCACAUUAAACCAUAAUUCAUGUAUAUUUUUUUUGUAUAUAUCCCAUAAAUUUAUUUCAUUAACUUUUUACCUAUAUCAUAUAUAGAGUUGUUCGUGAACCGAGCCAAGGAAUGCCCACUCGAAAAAAUGAGAGGGUUUUGGAAAAAAAUAUAUGCCUAAAAAAUGGGCUUGGAUAAAAAGACAAGGCCCGUUUAGAAAAUGAACCGGCAUUGAGUAGGGUUUUUUUGUCCGGGCUCAGCCUAACCCGAAUUUUCAAUUAAAAAAAACCCUGUUGUUUUUGCUGCUAUUUUUCCAUAUCUUGGUGUUGUUUUCUCACUUUUUGCCGCUAUUUUAUUACCAUUUCACUAUUAUGUUACUACUAUUUUUUUUAAUGUUUGGAUAUAGUAUAAUAAUUGUUUUAUUGUUAAUUUUAUCACUAUUUUAGAGACAUUUGUUUGUUAUGUUGUACUUAUUUUAGUUUUUAUUUAAGUAUAAAAAAAUUUAAAAUUUAUUUUCAAUUUAUUGAUAAACAUGUAAUUUAAUAUUUUCAGUGUAUUUAUUGUAUUAUAUUUGUUAAAUUUAUAUAAAAUUAAAAUUAAAAAAAUAUGGACCGAGAUGGGAGUUUAACAAAAAUUUAGGCCCAUUUUUCAAGUCGGGCCGAUCUCNNNNNNNNNNNNNNNNNNNNNNNNNNNNNNNNNNNNNNNNNNNNNNNNNNNNNNNNNNNNNNNNNNNNNNNNNNNNNNNNNNNNNNNNNNNNNNNNNNNNNNNNNNNNNNNNNNNNNNNNNNNNNNNNNNNNNNNNNNNNNNNNNNNNNNNNNNNNNNNNNNNNNNNNNNNNNNNNNNNNNNNNNNNNNNNNNNNNNNNNNNNNNNNNNNNNNNNNNNNNNNNNNNNNNNNNNNNNNNNNNNNNNNNNNNNNNNNNNNNNNNNNNNNNNNNNNNNNNNNNNNNNNNNNNNNNNNNNNNNNNNNNNNNNNNNNNNNNNNNNNNNNNNNNNNNNNNNNNNNNNNNNNNNNNNNNNNNNNNNNNNNNNNNNNNNNNNNNNNNNNNNNNNNNNNNNNNNNNNNNNNNNNNNNNNNNNNNNNNNNNNNNNNNNNNNNNNNNNNNNNNNNNNNNNNNNNNNNNNNNNNNNNNNNNNNNNNNNNNNNNNNNNNNNNNNNNNNNNNNNNNNNNNNNNNNNNNNNNNNNNNNNNNNNNNNNNNNNNNNNNNNNNNNNNNNNNNNNNNNNNNNNNNNNNNNNNNNNNNNNNNNNNNNNNNNNNNNNNNNNNNNNNNNNNNNNNNNNNNNNNNNNNNNNNNNNNNNNNNNNNNNNNNNNNNNNNNNNNNNNNNNNNNNNNNNNNNNNNNNNNNNNNNNNNNNNNNNNNNNNNNNNNNNNNNNNNNNNNNNNNNNNNNNNNNNNNNNNNNNNNNNNNNNNNNNNNNNNNNNNNNNNNNNNNNNNNNNNNNNNNNNNNNNNNNNNNNNNNNNNNNNNNNNNNNNNNNNNNNNNNNNNNNNNNNNNNNNNNNNNNNNNNNNNNNNNNNNNNNNNNNNNNNNNNNNNNNNNNNNNNNNNNNNNNNNNNNNNNNNNNNNNNNNNNNNNNNNNNNNNNNNNNNNNNNNNNNNNNNNNNNNNNNNNNNNNNNNNNNNNNNNNNNNNNNNNNNNNNNNNNNNNNNNNNNNNNNNNNNNNNNNNNNNNNNNNNNNNNNNNNNNNNNNNNNNNNNNNNNNNNNNNNNNNNNNNNNNNNNNNNNNNNNNNNNNNNNNNNNNNNNNNNNNNNNNNNNNNNNNNNNNNNNNNNNNNNNNNNNNNNNNNNNNNNNNNNNNNNNNNNNNNNNNNNNNNNNNNNNNNNNNNNNNNNNNNNNNNNNNNNNNNNNNNNNNNNNNNNNNNNNNNNNNNNNNNNNNNNNNNNNNNNNNNNNNNNNNNNNNNNNNNNNNNNNNNNNNNNNNNNNNNNNNNNNNNNNNNNNNNNNNNNNNNNNNNNNNNNNNNNNNNNNNNNNNNNNNNNNNNNNNNNNNNNNNNNNNNNNNNNNNNNNNNNNNNNNNNNNNNNNNNNNNNNNNNNNNNNNNNNNNNNNNNNNNNNNNNNNNNNNNNNNNNNNNNNNNNNNNNNNNNNCCCAUCCCAUGAACAACUCUAAUUAUAUAUAUAUGUCAUUCUCUAAUAAUAAUAAUAAUAAUAAUAAUAAUAAUAAUAAGUGGAUAACAUAAAACUAGUAGUAAAGAGUAAGAAGACAAAGAAGAAUUAAGUGGAUAACAUAAAACGUGCGAAAACAUUUAUCUUCAAUUCUGACACAUAAAGCUAGUAUUUUUGGGUAAAGUAUAGAAAUGGUGAUUAAAUUAUUGUUGAUGUUCUAUUUUAAUUUUUAAUUUUUCUAUUUUAGUUAUUAAAUUAUUUGAAAUUAAAAUUUUUGGUUAUCAAAUGUUAACAGUAGUUUGAAAUUUAACAGAAAUAUUGAUGUGAACUUUUCUUAUUGAUUUAAUAAUAAAUUUAGCCUUCUAAUAUUUAUAUAUUCUAUUAAUUUGAUACUAAAUAUAAAAAUUUAACAAAUUUAACCUUCAAUAUUUACAAAUUUUGUUAUUUUAAUUCAAAUUCUAAAAAAAAAUUCAAUAAAUUUAACCCUCAACAUUUAAAAAAUUGAUAAAUUUCAAUUUUUAAAAUUUUGUAAAUUCCUAAAAUAUAAAGCAUCAUUCUCCACCUCAUAGGAUUCCAUGUAAAUGGAUUUUCUUGAAUUCUUUACCAAGUUGUCUUGAGUUUAAUUUCUUCUUAUUUAGUUUGUGGAAUAAAUGGCAUAUAGUUAGAUGUCACUGCAGCUGACAAUGAAAGGUUUGACAAAGUUGAUAAAUUCAGAGCUUUUGAUGCUGAGCUUCAAAUCAGUCUUGCCUCCACUCACCCAAGAAAUCAACUUUACAAUUUUUAUUGAGUCUUAACUCGAUUAAUAUGAGUAUUGUUAUCAAUAUAGGAGGAAGUGAAUUUUAGUGCGUUGAAACACAUUAUCUUCUUAUUGAUGAAUUGAGGAGGGGCUAUGAAUAGUUUUAAAUAUUAUAUUAAAAAAGCAGAGAUAAUUGAAACCUACAAUAAUAUUGUUCAAAAAAAUUACCUAAAAACACGAAAUCUUACUCCCUGAAUUUUCUAGAAACACAAAUAUUUCUCCCUGCCUUUGAUGGUGUAUACAUGCAUGGCCAUGUGUGAGCUCCUGCAUUUUAACUAAUCAACACAGAUAAUACCCUCAAUGAGACAUUAAAAUUAACUCUUUUUUUUUGUUUUUUCAUAAAAUUUAUAAUUUUGUAUUUCAAUGAAAAAAUCUAAAUCUAAGUUGAUCCGAGUCCAAAAAAAUCUGAAGCUGUAAAAAGUUUGAUCUGAGGCUGCUCAUUUGCCACCUCUAAUAACCAUUUGAUAGAGGUUUAAUAUAAAGGAAUUUAGAUUUUAGGAAUUUACAAAAUUUUUAAAAUUAAUUUUUUAUUUGUAAAUGCUAAGGGAUAAAUCUAUUGAAGUUUUUAAAAUUUGAACUGAAAUGUCAAAAUUUGUAAACAUUGAAGGCUAAAUUUGUUUAUUUUUUCUAUUUAAGACCAAUCUGAUAGAAUGUGUACACAUUAGAAGACUAAAUUUAUUAUUAGACCAAUAAAAAAAUGCCCAACUUAACGCUUUCUCAAAUUUCAAACCGAUGUUAAUAUUCAAUGACCAAAAUUUUUUAUUUCAAAUAGUUUAGUGACCAGAAUAGAAAAAAAAAUUAAAAGUUUGAUGACCAAAAUAGAACGCGGAUAAUAAUUUAAUGAUAUUUUUAUACUUUAUCUGUUUUUUUAUGAUUAUUUAUACAUAUCAAGUGUAGCUAAUUUAGGGAAAAGAAUCAAUGGUUAAGGUUGUUGUUGAUACUUAAUUAUCAGCGUCCAAAUUUUGCUAAUGUAAUUUUCCUUAUCAUAGUUUGUAUCUUAAUUUUGUUACCAAAAAAAUAUUAGUAAUAAAUAAUAUAUGCUCGAGAAAUGUACGUAUGAUUGAUUUAAACAAUACAUGUUGGAGUAAUUUACUGAUGGAUUUAAAAUAAAAUUUAAAAAUAAAAUAAAAUUUUAAAAAUCCAAAAGUAUUUUUUCUUUUAAAAAAAUUUAAAAAUGAUUUUUAAAUUAUUUACAUGAUUGAUUUAAAGGAUUUUUUUUCUAUUAAUUAUUUUUAUAUUAAAUUUAUUUUACUUUAUGUAUAACAUUUAAAGGGUUUGUAUAUAUGCUAACUCGCGAGUCAAUUAAAAUUUGUAUUAUAUUCAUUGAAUUUUUUAAAAAUAUAUUAUUUAUUUAUUUAUUUAUUUAUUUAUUUAUUUGAGACCCAUGAUAAACUUGUAUUUAAAGUUAUUGGUGCACACUAUAAAUUCAUAUAUUGAAAAUGAUAGGUGCUAAAAGUAACAUGUUUUAGUCUCAUUCUUAAUGUGUUUUUGGAUGAUUAUUCGAUAUAAAAAAGUUAAUUUUAUGCUCCUAAACUUUUCAAUUUACAUUCUACACUUAAUAGAGCAUUUAGGAGCAAAAGAAGCGAAAAACGAGCGAAAAUAAAAAAAAAAUAGGAGCAAGUCUCAAGAGCCACACAGGCUGAGCCAUUCCACACGGGUUGGACACAUAACCGAGUGAGCCACACGACCAUGUGCUAGACUGUGUGGAAAUCGCAAACUACACUCCAAACGGCAUGAAAACACAUUAAUUUUAAGGUUUUUUAAGCAUUUUAAUACCUAUACAUGACAAAGAUAAGAAGAGGGGAGAGAGCCGUCAGAAAAUAUUAAAGAAAACAACUUGAAAAACACCAUUGAAACCAACUUUGAAGCAAAUUUUCAUCAAGAUUGAAGAUCACAUUUUGAUUUCUUUGAAGUUUAUUAUGAGUUUCUUUAUUUAUUGUGGUUAUACUGACUUUAGGAUGUUUUUAUUUGCUAUCAUGAACGAAUUUUCUAAAUACCUAAGGAGAUGAAUCCUAUCAUGAAUUAUGUUAUUUGAUUUCUAUUUUUACGUAAUAAAGACUUAGAUCUUAUUCUCAAUUAUGUGUGCUUAAUUUUUGGUUUAAUAUUUCUAGACUAUUAAUCCAUGUUUGAUGUGCUUAAAUCAGAGGAGGAAUAAACCCUAUUUAAGAGUAGAUCUAGCGUAAAUGAGUGGAGUUGCAUGCAAUUCUAGAAAUAGGACAACAUAAAUCUACCGUAUUAGAUCCAAAUCUAAUAGGGGAAUCUAUAGAUCGAGUUAAUACGAUGAUAGAGGUUUUAAUUAGAAAUAAAUUUCAAUUAAUUAACCUAGUCUUGAAGAGAUAUAUUAGCAUAAUUUAGAGAUUUUUACAGAUCAAUAUACUAAGUGACGACGUUGCGUAAUAUAGAUUGAUAAUGACAGAUGAAGUCUAGGUAGAUUCUUUCCUAGGUAUUGUCUCGCUUCUUGGUUAUUAUUUGAUUAUUUUCUUGAUUUGUGCUUUGUUGUGUUAUUUAGUUAACUAAUUUAGUUAAUUUUAGUUUCAACCAAUCACUCCAAUUUAUCAGUUAAAUAAUAGAAAAUACGGUAAUUACUGGUACUUUUAGUCUUCGUAAAAACGAUAUCUUUGCUCACCAUAACUAUACCAUUAAUUGAUGUGCACUUGUCUGAGUUAGAUUUUUAGUUGGUUUACGACUGCAAUCAAAAAACUCAUUAAGUUAGCACAAACUAAGUUAAUUAUUCGUUGGUUGCUUUAUUUUUUUCCUGAAUUUUCGAUUUCAUCUUUCAUUUUGUACAAUAAUUUUGAUAUAAAAAUAUCAAAUUCUCGACCCUUAAUAUAUACCUUUGAAAUAUAAACAUAUGCAUCAAUUCUUUUAGGUUCCUCACAACUUACUUAUCCAAAAUUCUUGUAUCUUUCAGUUCUCCUGAUUGAAUCAAAAUUUGACUUCGUAAUUAUUUUUUAAGGACCUCAAACUAUCAAUUUAUAGCAUAAAUUUUCAAUAGCUUUCAUUCUUUACAAAUUGGUCCCUAAUUAAUCAACAAUGGUAUUAAACCUUAAGCUUAGGGUCCCGUUGUUUCACUGAAAAUGGCUUUCGAAAAAUAAUUUCUAGAAAAUGACUUACUUUCCUAGAAAAGUUAAUAUUUUCUGAUGUUUGGAUGAAUCAGUGUAAAAUAUUUUAUAUUGUUUGACAAAUUUCUUAAAAAUAUUCAUAAAAGCUGUUUUCAAUGAAACAAACAUGCAUUUGAGAUUUUCUUAUCUUUUCAUUGUUUAAUUAAGUUUAUCUUAUAUCUAUAAAUUUAUAUUUUACAUUUUUUUGCAUAUAAUAAAAAUAUAUAUUUUUUAAUUCAGGUUCACUACAAUGUCACUUUUUAGUUACAUGACUACCAAGUGAGUAUUUUUUUUAUUUAAAAAUGUGACAUCAACAAAAUUGACAAAAAAAAUUUUAGCAAUGUCAACAAUUGGACUUGAUUUUCAAAUCUGAAAAGUAGAGGGACUAAAUUCUUGAAAAUAAAAGUAUAGAGACUAAAUUGAAAAUUUGUGAAGAAUACAUAGACUUAUCACAUUUUUUAACUUUUAUACUACAAAAUAUUUAUCAUUAAUAUAUUUAUAAUUAUAAUAAAUAUUUAUUAUUAAAAUAUUAAUAUUAAAUAUUUCCAAUAAGAAGAAUAUUAUUUAAAAUUAUUAUUUUUAAAAAAUUUUAUUAAAAUAAAAUUGAAAUAUUAAAUAAUUUAUUAAAAUAAUUAAUUUUAUGACUAAAUAUAAAUAAUUAAAUAUGUAUGUUUAAUAAUAUUGGAAUAUAUAAUAUUUUAUAUUAAUAUUUUAAUUAUUUUUAAAAAUAAAAAUAAAAAUUAUUUUCAAUAUAAUAAUAUUAAUAUUGAUUUAAAUGAAUUUUUAUAUAAAAAUAAAAUUACCUAUAGAUGAGCUCUUUUUCCAGAAAAUGACUUACACUUUUCAAAAGGAUAAGUCAUUUUAUAGGAAAAAGAGUUCAAUUUUACAUUGACCUGUAAGUCAUUUUCCGAUGACCAAACUGUUUACUGUAAAACAAACAUAAGAAAAUACAGAAAAUAUUUUCUGUAAAACCUUUUACAUGUAAACAAACGGACCCUUAAUUCAAGCUUGUUCUAACAUAACCCACUUCACUAUUAGCAUGACUCUUCCUUAUACUAUGUUUAACCAUUAACCCUUCUCAUGAUUUCUAACAAAAAUUCUCUAAGUUCUCUUUAAUGGAAACUUCUAUUAGCUUCAACAAUAAGAAAUUCUAACCAUUGGGUUGGUUGUAUCAAGUUUCAUACUUUAAAAAACUAUAAAAAAAAUUAUUUAGAAAACAAUUUGUUUACCUUUGAUGGCCUUGAUGGAGAACAACUUGGUUUCUUCUUCUACUUAGUUUAAAGAAUGCAUGAAGAAGAAGAAGAUUUCCCCUCUCCCACUGUUUUAAAUAUAUAUAUAAAUAACCUAUUAAUCAAGGUAAUUAAGUCACUAAUUAACCUUAAUUAGCUAUGAUCUAAUGGCCAUAAACUUAUCAUGAGAAAAUUAGUGGAAAUGUGUGGCAUUGAUAAUGGUUUGCCAAUAAUCAAACUUUGGGCAUGGUAAUAUUGCAAUCAGGUUUUUGGUUUAAUUACACUUUUAAGUACUUGCUAAAUUCUGUAAUCAAUUCCCACUAGGUGGGUCACUUGAACAAUUGGGUCCAUGUAUUAUAGUUACAACUUAUCCAAUUUAAUCAAUUAAUGAUUUGACUUUAUAAUUUCAUGUACAACACACAAACUCCUCCGGUAAAUUCUCAAGCUAGCUUUAUUUAAAAAUUUGGCCUCAAAACCAGCUUUCCAAAUGUUCAUGAAAAUUGAGUUGUUACAUUAUGGUAUUUGUUUUGUUCAACUUAUUUGUCAGGCUCUAUUCCUUUGAACUUAUGUUCGUUGACUUCAGUGUUGCUUAAAUGAAAAUGUGGUGAACAAUCUUAUGGAUAGGAGUGUAUGAUUGAGUAUGUGUAACACCCCUAACCCACAUCCUUCGCCAAAUUAAAGUGACAGAGUGUUAUUAUACAAAACAGAACAUUCCAUGACAACACAUAAACAAUUAUGCAAAUUAUCACAAUCAUUAAUUAACCAUAUUAAAAUAUAACAUAAGUAUCCAUACGACCUUUAAAUCGAGCUUAUAUGGCCUUAAAAAUAGCUUGGGAUCAAUCUAGGAUCAAUUUGGAACAUAACAUAAAUUUUAAGAAAAAUCUAAAAAUUUUGGGAAACAUGGGUCACACAACCGUGUGUCCAGGCCGUGUGACAUACCCCAGACCUUGUGGGAAUUCAAAAUUAGGAAACGCAAUCAUGUCCUAACCCGUAUGUCUACCUGUGUGAAUAUUUGAAAUAGGGUCUCACAGUCGUGUCGAGGCCAUGUGCUAAACCAUGUAUAUAUUCAAAUUAUGAACACAUGGCCGUGUCGCAAGCCAUGUGCUAGACCGUGCUCAAAACUAUUUUGAGACACACAGCUGUGUCUUAGGCUGUGUGAAAUUUUCACUUUAGACAACAACACACAGCCGUGUGCCAGGCCAUGUACACCAAAAUGUACCUUAAAAAUCAAAUUUACCAAAACAUUUUUACUUAGGCAUCAAGAAACCUAAUUACCAUCAAUCAAACUCAUUCAAAACACAAUUAAACAGGUUCAAAACAUCCAUCCUAAGUGCCUAGCCAUUGUGCCCUCAUUGACAUCAUAAUUCAAUAAUCAAAUCAAUCAGAUUUAAACCAAGAUUUAAACAUUCAAAUUGUAAAAUCAUCAUUAACCAUUCAUACCAAAACACUGAUCAUUUCAAGUCAUAAACACCUAGCAAUAUUCACAUACUUUAUAAAGCUUAACUACCAAUACCAAAUAAGAUCCAUACACACAUACAUACCAAACAAAACACAUAUUCACAAGUAUCAUUCAAGAUUUACAACUUUACAUGUAAUUAACAUAAUUUCAAGUCACUUAUUACAUGUCAUACAACCCAAAACAAACACUAAACAAACUACCAAUAGUUUCUCGAAUAGUGUGAUUCUUGAAAUAAAAUUGAUCACCCAAAGCGUCAAAAAUAAAUCUACAAGAAAGCAUUGGAAGAGACACAAGAGUAAGCUUACUUAAGCUUAGUAAUUUCGACGGAUUUAAACAAUCAACUUACCGAAUAAACUUAUCUAAUAUAGGGUAUAGAAAGUCAUAAAUCAUAAUCAUGUCAUCCAUAAUCAGAUCACGAGUGAGUCUUAAACUUAAAUAUGAAUUAAUUAAUUCAAUCAAUUACAUUAUAUCAGUAAAUUAUACCCGAUGAACGUUGCAAUGGAUUUGGAUACACAGUUAACCAACCAAACACACCAAAUCACUCAAAUGAGCUAGCCAUCUGAAAGUACACAUGGGCACCAAGUGCCAAGCCCAUAGGCUAACCUCCCUCCGAAACACACCUUGUCACCAAGUGCCAAGCCCGUAGGCUUUACAUCCGCCCCCGAAACACACCUGAAGCACUACAAUAUAACGCGAUAGUUCGCAACAAAUGUUGAACUUCAAUAUAUUCAAUAAACAUGAAUAAGAUCAGAAUCAUCAUCUCCACAUCCACCAAUCUCGUAAAGCGCACGAUAUAACCUAUUGACAUGCCAAUUGUAUCCUAUCAUACAUUCAUCGGCUCACAUAUUUGUCAUUUAACAACAUUUAAUACAAUUUCUUUCCCAAAUCAUUUCACUUACCACAAUUCAAUACUUCCAUGUCAUUUAAUAAUUUCAAUCCACAAGUAAUUAAAUAUUUAAAUUAUACUAAAAUUAAACUGUAAAAACUCACUAGGGCCAAACUGUAGAAACAACAAAAGUUCAGGGACUAAUCAACAACCUUCCCUUUUUCCACAAUUAUCAACUUGAUCUUGAUCUAUAAUAUAAUUUAUUUCAAUUAUUAGCCUCAAUUUUCAUAUUCUAAUCAUUUCAAUACAUAUGAUCUCUUAUUUAUAAAUUUACACAAUUAUCCCAAAUUUUUACACAUUAUACAAUUUAAUCCCUAUGACCAAAUCAAGCUUAGUUCUACAAUUAAAUUCUCAAUCCAUAGAACUAAAUUUUAACCACAUCCAAAACAAUCCAUAUAUGCUAAAAUUUUCAAGAGUAACAUGUCUAUUUCAGUUAAAUCACUAAACAUCAAAUUUUGUAAAAAUCACUUUACAAACUCAAUACAUAUGGUCACCAAGCUUCAACGCAAACUAUUUACUACUACAAAUCUUCGAAAAUUUCAAUACAUAAUUUCUAUACUUUGAUAACUUCACAAAUAAACUCCAAAACUAGCUAAAUUCCAUUAUCAAUAGCUCAAAACUUAAAAUUUAUGAUGAAUAAACCAAGAAAAUACUUACAUGCAUUAAAAACUAACAAAAACCAAGAUCCCAAGCCUUAGAACAAUGGUGUUUCAGCCAAACCUAAGAAAAAUAAAGAAGAUGACCACUACCCCACUUUUGUUUUACUUUCCUUUUAUUAUUAUAAUAAUCUUUAUUUAUGAAAUUAUAACAUUAUAAAACACCAAUUUAAAUAUAUUUUUUUUCUCUCUUUACCGCCCAUAUUAACUAACUAUGGGCUAAUGGCAACAUAACCCCCCUUAGUUUACUAAUUUAAGCUAUUAUAUUAAAAUAAAUCUAUAAUAAGCAACUUUUCCACCUAUUACAAAUUAAUCCUUUUUCUUUAAUCAAUUCACUAUACGUUAAAUUUUCUAAACCAAAACUUAAUACGACACUGAUGACUUUGUAAAUAUUAAAUAAUUAAUAAUUCUAGACAGACACGUCGAAAGUGUAGUCCUAAAACUAUUAUUUUCGACACCGCUGAAAAUCGGACUGUUAUAGUAUGGUUCUACCUCUUAGGGGGAGACAUAUUCUAGUUUCCUUUGACUUGUUUAGAUGAUGUGUUAAUCAUUUGCUACUGGUUUUGUCAAAAUGCCAAAUGGUGAGAUUGUUUGAAACUUUGUUCAUGUACGAACAGUAGAUUAAACAAUGCUUAAUUUGAUGCAUUCAAAGAAUUUAUGUUGGCAUGUUUGACUUUAUAAUGAAAUGGCUUAUGAUUUAAUCUCAUUGAGUAGCAAAUGGGGAAGUGAUUUUGUGUUAUAACAUGUGAUGAUCAUUAUCUUUCAAUCAACUACCUUGAAGAAGAAUGGGAGGAGUUUGAACUUUUGUGGACUUUCGUAAUAUUUGAAGCUGCUAAGAUACUUGUUUAUAAAGAAUUUUAUGAUAUAACUAAUCAAAAUAAUUCAUGUCAUAAUUUUUGGAGUUUUAAACUUAUGAAGACUCUAGUAUUGGCCUAUAAAUAGGCAUAAUUACCGCACAUUGAAAAUAGGCUUUUGGAGGGUUUAAGUUGGAUGCUUUGGUGAAUUUUUCUUGUGUUUUAUAUAACACUCUUUUUUAAGUUUUUAUUGGGGGAUAUUUGCUUGAUGUAAGUGAGAUAUUUUGGAGAGAGUGAUUUGUAAUAAUUUAGGUUCAAUAUUGAAGUUGCAAAUAAUUAUAAGGUAAUGGUAAUUUGGACUUUAGUCAAUAGUUAAUCAAGACGAAUUGUAAAUACAAAUUAUUUUUUAAGCGAAACUCUACAGAAUAAAACUAGUGAACUCAAACUACUGAACUCAAACUACGCUAACAAAUAUUACAUAUUAUCUUUCCUUACUUUACUCGUUGCUUUACCUUAUUUUAAAAUUGUUUUGUCAUAAAUGUAUUAUGUUUGAACCUUUCCAAUCGAAAUAAAAAAAAUGAGAUUGAAAUUGUGAUAAAGCUAAAAAAAGUUACAACAAAUAUGAUUAAUAUUAUUUUUAUAUAUACUUAAUAAAAGUUAAAAAGGGAAUUACAUUUAUUGAAUAUUAUUUUAUUUAAUAAAAUAUAAUUACUAUAUUUUAUAUAAAAUUUAAAUAUUUUAUUGUUUGUUAGUUAAAUUUUAUUUUCUUUAUUUUCUUUAUGAAUAAAAUUAAUUUUCCUAAAAUUUGAGAUAAAAAAUGUUAUAUAGAAAAUUAAAUUAGUAAAAAGUUUAAAAAAAUCAAUUCUAAAAUAAACUUAACUAUUAUAAUAAAAUAUUUUUAUAUAAAAAAAGAAAUUAUAGAAAAGACUUAUUGAAUAUAUUUCCUAUUUUCGACAUUCAUAAAAAAAAAAAAAAGUGGUCCUAAUAAUUUAUUUAUACAAAACAAAAAAAAGUGGUCCUAUUAAUUCACCUCACAUUUGAAAUGUGUUAUAUGUAAUAAUAUUAAUAUCUUUAUCAAUUUUGGAGGUUCAUCCAUUCCCAUCUCUAUAAAUUUGCAUGCAGAACUAAAGCAACACAUAUCAACACAAUCUGUAUAACCAUGAAAACCACAACAGCUUCGGUGUUUCUUCUUUUCAUCAUCUUCUCAAUCACACCAUUGUCCUUUUCGUUUGGUGUGGCCAACACUACAAACGCUCCUGUGCUCGACAGUGAUGGCAACGAGCUCCGCACAGGCACCCCAUACUUCGUUGUGUCGUNNNNNNNNNNNNNNNNNNNNNNNNNNNNNNNNNNNNNNNNNNNNNNNNNNNNNNNNNNNNNNNNNNNNNNNNNNNNNNNNNNNNNNNNNNNNNNNNNNNNGGGGCUUGCCCUAGGCAUGCCUAGAGGAAACCCAUGCCCGGAAGUCGUUGCUCAAAGAGGAUCCGGUGACGAUGGUAUUCCGGUGAUAUUUUCUAAUUCGGACUCCAACGAUGGCGUUGUUCGCCUAUCCUCUGACAUAAACAUAGAGUUCAUUCCCCUCAGACCCAGAUUUUGCCAAACAACAACGGUGUGGAAGGUCGAUGAUUACGACCACUCAGCCGGAAAAUGGUGGGUGAUAACCGAUGGGGUUAAAGGGAACCCAGGUGCCAACACUUUGACCAGUUGGUUUAGAAUAGAGAAGGCGAGUCAUCUUGAUUACACAUUUAAGUACUGCCCCGCAGUAUGUGGAACAUGCCCGGCUUUAUGCAACAAAAUUGCGAGAGACUUGGAUGGAGAAAUGAUGCGUUUGGCUCUCUCCACUGACCAUGGAUGGCCAUUUUUCUUUAAGAAACUUCAAACAUCAGCCAUGGAGAUUGAACAAGUUGUUCAUAAUUAGAUUGAAAGCAAUCAUUAUGCAUGAACUAGUAGUUACUAUACAAUAUUAGCUUCAAGUAAAUAAUGCUGAGAGAACUGAUUGUUAAGAUUGCCAUGUUUGAAGCAGAAGCAUGCAUAUAUAUAUGCUUGCCUACAAGGUUUGUCUCUCAGAGUCCUCUUUGUACUCUUUUCAGCUUAAUAUAUAAACUGUCUACUUAUUUACUUCUUUUAUUAAUGCCAUUGAUUCUAGUAGUAUUAGACUCAUUAACUUGGAUACAUUGUCUUGUAAUUAACCCAAAAAUUAUAUAUAUAUCAAAAAAAAAAAAGAGAGUGAGAGAGGAAAAUAGACUAGCAAGUAACAAGCGAAAAAUGGUAAUACUAGGGUUAUUUAGAGUGGUUUCAAUGCACAACCGGAAUGAAUUGUUACCUUAUCUUUAGAGUCAAAGAAGGGUUCGUGACUAGUCUUUCAACAAUACUAUUUUCAAGGUUCGAACCUGUAUUAUCCUUUAAAUACGUAAUGUAUUUUAUCAUUACACUCAAUAAUAUUAGUAAUUUGCUUUAUUCUAUUCUUAAUUAAUAAUUAUGAUAUAUAUAAAGUUUAAGAUGGAUUUUCUUAUUCAUAUAUAUCAAUUAAAUCAAAUAUUUGUAUUUAAAGUUUUAACCGAACAUUAACUUUUUUUUUUAAUUUCUUCGUUUGUUGGUGGUGAUUAGGAGAUUGAUGGCCGGUCUUUGUGAUUGGUAGCUUUUAACACAAUGGCGAAGCUAAGGAGGCUUUAAAUGUUUAAAUGAUUUUUUUUUUCAAUUGAAACUUCUUUAUAAUUUAUAAAAUUUUAAAUUAAUAAUAAUAAAAUUACAUUUUAAUUUUUUAAAAAUGAUAAAAACGUGGAAGCACAUUUGUACGAUUAAUAAUAAUGAUAAUAUUUUUCCUACCACAUGGAAGUUUAUGGAAACACCAUUGGGUUUUGUAUUUAUGUUUUAUUCGACCCUCUUAUAAGUUUUACUGGGGAGAUUUGCUUGAUUGUAAGUGAGGUAUUUUGCGGAGAGUGAUUUAUAAUAAUUUAAAAUUAAUAUUGGGGUUACAAAUAACUAUGGGAGUAAAGUAGUUUAGACUUUAGCUAAUAAUUGAUCAAGAUGGAUUGUAGAAUAAAAUCAUUUUCGAAGCAAAAUUUUAUAAAAUUAGGAAAUCUGAAUUACGUUAACAAAUAUUGAUAUUAUCUUUCUUCACUUUAGUCCUUGCUUCACCUUAUCUCAAAAUUAUUCUAUAAUAAUCUAUUUUGUCUCAACCUUUUCAACAGAAUUUAAAAUGCAACUAUUUCUAACAAGUGCAAACCAAAAACUUUUUCACAUACCAAUAAAUGGCAAGCAACCAUACCGUGGGCCCAAUGUCCCAACAAUCAUCUAAACAUUUUUUUUUCUUUUUUAAAUAAUAUGUAAUAAUUUAUAUACCAUAAAUGAAUAUUAAUUAAAAUAAUAUAAACAAAAUAGGACUCUUUAAUAUAAUAUGGAUCCAAAAUGUUUCAUAUUUGAAAUGCAGUUUUUGAUAAUUUCACAUUUCAUAUUUUAUCUUAGAACAAAAAGAAAAUUUGAAUUUAAUAUUUGGACUAUUGAUCAAUGGUGUUUAUUAUAUUUCAAGACUAUCAGAUUAAUCUGUCGAUACUACUUAUAUGGUAUGGUUUAAAUGGGUGUGUGUAUAUAGAAAUUUGAAAUUCUAUUGUAUCAAAGAAAAUUUUUUUUAAAAAUAAAAUAAAAAGGAAUUUGAAAUUUAAAAUUUGAGAUCAAAAUAAAAAAAUGAGACUUGUUAUAAACCAUAAGGCUCAAAAAAGGUUACAACAAAUAUGGUUAAUAUUAUUUUUAUAUAUACUUAAUAAAAGUUUAAAAUAUCGAAUUUGUAAUAUUAUUUUUAUUUAAUAAAAUAUAAUUAAUAUAUUUUAUAUAAAAUUUAAAUAUUUUAUUGAAAUAUUAUGUUAGGUAAAUUUUAUUAAUUUUAUUUUCUUUAUAAAUAAAAUUAAUUUUAUUAAAAUUUGAGAUAAGAUAAUUAAAUUAAUAAAAGGUAUACUUCAUAUUUUAUAGUUAUUAUAAAUAAAAAAUUAUUAUAAAAAUAAAAAAAAAGAAUUCUACAACAUAAUGAAAUAUUUUUAUUAAAAAAAACAGAAAUGAUUGAUGGAAUAUAUUUCCAAUUUUCGACGUUCAUUAAAAAAAAAAAAGAGUGGUCCUAAUAAUUGAUUUAUUGGGGGAAAAAAAGUGGUCCUACUAAUUUACCUCACAUUUGAAAUGUGUUAUAUGUAAUAAUAUUAAUAUCUUUAUCAAUUUUGGAGGUUCAUCCUUUCCCAUCUCUAUAAAUUCGCAUCGAGAAAUAAAGCAAUACAUCAACGCAAUCUGUAUAACCAUGAAAACCACAACAGCUUCAGUGUUUCUUCUUUUCAUCAUCUUCUCAGUCACACCAUCAUCUUUUUUGUUUGGUGUAGCCAACGCUACAAACGAACCUGUACUCGACAUUGAUGGCAACGAGGUUCAAACAGGCACCCCAUAUUAGGUUGUGUCGUCCAUAUGGGGUGCUGGUGGUGGGGGGCUUGCCCUAGGCAGGCCUAGCGGAAACCCAUGCCCGGAAGUCGUUGCUCAAAGACGAUCCAGUGACGAUGGUAUUCCGGUGAUAUUUUCUAAUUCGGACUCCAACGAUGGCGUUGUUCGCCUAUCCUCUGACAUAAACAUAGAGUUCAUUCCCCUCAGACCCAAACUUUGCCGAACAACAACGGUGUGGAAGGUCGAUGAUUACGACCAUUCAGCCGGAAAAUGGUGGGUGAUAACGGAUGGGGUUAAAGGGAACCCAGGUGCCAACACUUUGACCAGUUGGUUUAGGAUAGAGAAGGCGGGUGAUCUUGAUUACACAUUUAAGUACUGCCCCGCAGUAUGUGGAACAUGCCCAGCUUUAUGCAACAAAAUUACGAGAGACUCAGAUGGAGAAAUGGUACGUUUGGCUCUCUCCACUGGCAAUGGAUGGCCAUUUUACUUUAAGAAAGUUGGAAAAUCAGCCAUGGAGAUUCAACAAGUUGCUCGUAAUUAGAUUGAAAGCAAUCAUUAUGCAUGAACUAGUAGUUACUACAUAAUAUUAGCUUCAAGUAAAUAAUGCUGAGAGAACUUAUUGUUAAGAUUGCCUUGUUUGAAGCGGCAGCAUGUAUAUAUAUAUGCUUGCUUACAAGGUUAAUUUGUCUCUCAGAGUCCUCUUUGUACUCUUUUCAGCUUAAUGAAUAAACUGUUUACUUAUUUACUUCUUUUGUUGCCAUUGAUUCUAGUAGCAUUCGACUCAUUAACUUGGAUACAUUACCUUGUAAUUAACCAAAAAGUUAUAUAUAUAUAUAUAUCAAAACAAAACAAAAAAGAGAGUGAGAGAGGAAAAUAGACUACCAAGUACCAAGUGAAAAAUGGUAAUACUAAAUUUCCAGAUAUAUGGCAUUGUUUGUGUGUGACAAACACCAAGUAUAAAUAGGUGGAAGUAUGACUACUUAUCAAGAGUGGUAUGGUUCAAAAACUACCCCUAUCGAAUUAUUUCAUCCUACUCAUUCGUUAUCGAUAGGAAGAAGGAUACUUCCAACAAGAAAUAUUUUGAAGGGUUAGUGUUGAGUUAGCUAAAAAUCAAAGUUUAUCAGAAGCUCGAUCUAAAAUUCGCCAAAAAGAGGAUUAUUCAAAGCGAUUUCAAUAGACAACGGGAAUGGAAUAGUCUUUGAGUGGUUAGGGCACCUUAUCUUUUGAGAUAAAGAAGGGUUGGUCCAUGUUUGCAGUUCGUGACUAAUCCUUACAACAAUGUCGUUUUCAAGGAUUGAACAUGUGUCAUCCUUUGAACAUGUAAUGUGUGUCGAAACCGUUUUUUGAAAACAAAAAUUUCAGUUGUCGACUUUUAAAAAUAAAACUGGAGUCGCCACCGAUCUUUUAUUAAGGUGUGAUCGGCCCACCUUAAAAAUUAUUUUGGUCUGCGAGUUUUGAAAAUAGGUUCGGGAGUCGAUUACGCACGAGGAAGGGUUAGCACCCUCGUGACGCCCAAAAUCGGUACCACAUUGAUUAUUUAAUGUUUUAGUGUCGAAGGUUAAAAAAGAUUUUAAAAUAAGCUCAAAUGAUGGAAUUUGAAAAAGGAUAAUCAAUUGUUCAAGUCAUGUAAAGAAAUCGAGUCCCAAUACGUUAGGGUACAAUUCCUCAUAAUCCCCGAACUUUGAAUAUCACUUUUAUUUUAUGUGAAAAUUUUCAUUUCGAGAAAGUAACAUGCCACACCCAAUACGUUAGGGCACGACAAGUUAAGUUUCCAAAAAUGAUUUUUAUACUCAUGCAUUUUGAAUAAAGAAUAUCCUCGGUCAUUUAAGAUUAACGAAGAAAAUCCGAACCCAAUACGUUAGGGCUCAAUUUCCUUCGAAAAUCCCCAAACUUCGAAUAAUGCCUUUAUUCAAAAAAAAACCUUUGAAUCAAGAAAAUAACUUUGAUGAAUGGUUAAAACCAAAAUAUAUUUUCAAAAGGGUAUGUUAAAAAGUUAAUAUACAAUAUGAUACAAAUACUUUAAUUUACAGCAUAUACGAAUAAAUAUUUACAAAUUUAGAUAUACAAAUACAAUAUACCAGUAAAUUUGCAAACAUGUGUACGCAUAUAUUUGAUGCACAUAUACAAUAAUACAUAUAAAAAGAUGGAAAAAAAAUGCAUGUAUGUAUGAGUAUGAAAAUCGUAAAAAUAAAAUAAAAGUAUAAAGAUAUGCAUAUGUGUAUAUAUUUUCAAAAAUAAGGAAAAUGUAUUAGCAUAUAUAUAUAUAUAAUAUAGAGUAUAUAAAAGUAAAAAUAAAAAUGAAAACGUAUGUAUAUGCGUAUAUACUUACAAUAAAAGAACAAAAUAUAUAUAUAUAAAUAUAAUAUAUAAAUAAACUAUGAAAAAAAAAAUAUGUGUGUGAAAAUCUGUAUGUAUAUAAAAAAAAAUGAAGUAUGAAAUGUCAGUGUAUAUAAACUAUAAAACAAUAUAUACAUAUAUAAUAUAUACGAAUUUCCAAAGCUUAGAAUAUAUAUAUAUAUAUAUAUAUAUAUAUAUAUAUAUAUAUAUAUAUAACUACUACUACUUAAUACAUUAAAGCCUACUACCUAAUAUCAUGCAUUCGAACACCUUAUGAUAUUCCAAACUAAUAAUUUCUUAUCUUCAAUUCCAUUCAAGAAUUUUUACAUGAAUAUACAUACAUAAUCGAACCUCCCUUAUACAUAUAUAAAUUUCAUACUUAAACUCAUUACAGAAUAUAUAUAUGCAUAUUUGCAUAAUUGAACCUCAUAUAAACUAGUAUAAAUGGCAUACCUAAAUUCAAUACAAGGACAUAUACAUGUAUAAUUGCAUAUUAUAGAUCCAAUACAANNNNNNNNNNNNNNNNNNNNNNNNNNNNNNNNNNNNNNNNNNNNNNNNNNNNNNNNNNNNNNNNNNNNNNNNNNNNNNNNNNNNNNNNNNNNNNNNNNNNACUAUAUAUAUAUAUACUACUACUAUACUAGUAUAUAUAUAUAUAUAUAUAUAUAUAUAUAUAUAUAUAUAUAUAAACAUGCCUAUAUAAAGUACGCAUAUGUACAGGUAUAGAAAAUGUGGCAGUAAAUAUGACAGUAAGUAAUAUAAUAAUACUAAUAAUGGUAUAAUGAUAAAAAAAAAUAAUUGAAGAAAAAAAAUGAUCCAAAUUGAAUUAAAACGGAAAUGGGGACAAAUAUAAAAAAACUAAUUUGGAAACACGCCCAACAAUGGAGGACUAAAAGCGAAAUUAAUCCCGUCCAUAAAAUGUUGUGCAGUGAUGGACUAAAUUGAGACAGAAACGAAAUGUGAGGCUAAAAUUAAAAGAAAUAAAAAAGGAUUUAAUUGAAGUGCGCCACAAAAAAGAAGGACCCAUAGCAAAAAUAUCCCAUUUAAGGGCGGAACAUGUGGAUCCUCCUUGGUGAAACGGCGCCGUUUUUUGUAACACUAUUUAAAUCAAAAUUUUCCCUUUUAAAAUUCUGAUAGCCCAAUUUAAAAAAAAUAAAACUAAAUGCUGCCCUUUUAUUCACUCUGCUAGGGUUUCUUCAACCUUUUUAGCGCCGCCGAUCACCUGCUCCUUCACCCAAGCCCCGAUUGCGACGGAUAUGGUGGCGGCACGGUGGCUCCGACGAAAAGGUAGGCUUUCCUUUCCUUGUAUUCGAAGAAAAGUACUGGUAUUCGGUUUUUCUUUUAUAUUUUCCCCUCUAUUUCCGUAUAUCUUUUACCGAAAAUUCCCCCAACCAAAGUGUUUCAAAUCGGUUUUUAUAACCGAAUCUUAGAAAAGAAAAUAAAAAAUAAAAUCAAAAAAAAUCUAAUUUUUUUUGUUAUAUUUCUUGUGGCUUGUGGUUUUCAUGAUAGGUGUGCGACGACUGCAGCAACGUGGGAAUCGACGUGCUGCGAUGGAGGCGCGAUCUGCGAAGCUGGUUGUGGCUUGCGACGGCUAGUGGUUUUCUUCUGCUUAGGGUGUCUGUUAUUUUUUGUUUUUUGGGCUAGGUUUAGUUUGGGCUUAGGUUUAGUUUAUUGGGUUUGUUUAUUUGCUUGGGCCCGGGCAUUAUUGGGCUUGUACAAUGUGUCUUACAAUUACACCUAACAUUGUUGGUGAUUUACUUUAUUAUAUUCUUAAUUAAUAAUUAUGAUAUAUAGUAUGUUUAAGAUGCAUUUUCUUAUUCAUGUAUAUCAAUUGAAUCAAAUAUUUGUAUUUAAAAUUUUAACUCGACAUAUCGAAGGUCUGCUACUCUAGCACGUCUUUGGUCUGCUGCUCUAGCAUGUUUUGGUUUUUUUAGGGUUUUUUUUUGGCUUAUUUCUCUUUGUUCUAGCGAUGACAGUUUUGGGAUAGAGUAUUUCUUUUCAAUCUGGUUGAUUUUGAUUCGUGGCAAUGGAGGAUGAAUUGGCAGAGUUAACAUUGGAAGAUGAGGAAUAGGAGAUUUUGCAAGUACAGAAGGAAACUGAUUCUGCGACAGUGGUUUAAGAUCUUUGUCUGGUUGGAUACUUUCUCACAACGAGUGUAAUCCACUUUAUGACAAUGAGAAGCGCGAUGGCGAAUCUAUGGCAUCCUCUUAGAGGAGUUCAGAUCUCUAAUUUGGGGGAUAAGAAAUUAUUUCAAUUUUUUCAUAAAAUGGAUAUUGAUAGGGUACUAAAUGGGGAUCCAUGGACUUUCAAUAAUCAUCUUUUGGUGAUUCAUUUUUUGGAGGAUGGUGAGGAUCCGAUGAAGGUACCGCUAAUCUAUACGACUUUUAAGGUGCAAGUGCAUGAUUUACCCCCAGGGUUUUUUACUGAAUCUAUAGCAAAGAAGUUAGGCAAUUUUAAGGGUAAGUUUUUUGGAUCAAUAGAAAAAGCUUGGGUAAGGGCCUCAGGAAUUUCUUACAUAUACGGGUUUAGAUGGAUGUUAGAUGCUCUUUGAAGCGAAAAAAGAAGAUUAUGUUUUCACUUGGCAAGUGUUCCUAUGUCAACUUGAUAUACGAAUGACUAACUCUAUUCUAUUUUGUCUAUGGUUGUUUGGUAGACAAUGACUCUUUCUGUCAAGUUAGAAUGGCUAAAGGCUUAGAAGUUGUAGAGAUGGGAUGGUAUCUGUCUCUAAAAGCCCAGUCUAGGAGAGCUACUACGAUGAACAGUGUGUGGCUGCGGGAGGAAGGUAAAGGUGAGAUAAAGGGAAAUACCAUAGGACAUUUUGAUUUAGGGUAGGGAUUGUGGAAGGAUGGAAGGAAAGAAUCUAGGAUGCCCAUAGAUCUGUGUUGGGGUUAAAUUUGGAGGGUGGUUUGAAGUUAGUGUCGGGUAUGCAAGGGAACUCUUCAACGAUACAAGAUCAUUCGAAUAUGGAUCACGACUCAGAGGAAUGCGCUAUAGAAGGUAAAGAUGGGAAAAAAAAGACCCAAAAAGGAUAAUGGAAAUCAUAGUGUUUCGAUUGUGACAGAUUCACUUGUGAUUAGAGAUGAGAGAUUGUUGGGACGAACUCACUUUUUAUCGGCAGCUGCCAAGGGGCAAGAUGAUCAGUCACAAUAAAAAUAAUUAGUUGGAACAUCCAUUGAUUGGGGUGUCCACAGGCUAUAAGAAGGCUUUGACAUAUGUUGAAGGUGUAUAAUCCCCAAGUGGUCUUCUUUAUGGAGACAAAAAUUAGUAAUGUGCAAAUAGAGAAUGUGCAUAGAAGGUGUGGAUUUUUAAAUGGUAUUGAUGUUUCGGUCGAUGGUUCAAGAGGAGGUCAUUUUCUAGCUUGGAAGGAAAAUGUUAAAACGAAUCUAAUGAGUUAUUCUAGUAGUCAUGUAGAUGUUGUAUUUUAGAAGAUUGAUAAUGGAGGUUUGCUGGCUUUUAUGGGACAUCAAAUGCGUGUAGCAGAGACGAUUCAUGGAAUUUGUUAAGAAAUCUAGGACGCUCUCAAGCGUUCCCUUGGCUAGUGUGUGACAAUUUUAAUGAAAUUAUAUACUCUUUUGAAAAGGUUGGGGUGCCAAGAGAGGAGAAGAGAAUAGAGGUCUUUCGAGGAGUCUUAUAGGAAUGUUAGUUAAUGGACAUUGGAUACUUUAGGGCUAGGUUUACCUAGGAAAGGGGAAACUUACCGAAAACGAAUAUGAGAGAGCGACUGGAUAGAAGAGUGGCGAAUGCCGAAUGGAUGAACAUGUUUUCUAGUGCAGUGGUUUAGCAUUUACCACAUUCUUUUCCAGAUCAUUGUCCCCUUUUUAAUCAUACGGAGCAGGAGAGUAAUAGGUUGAGGCAGAAAAGGUUUCAGUCCGAGGCAUGGUGGGUGAUGUAAGAAUCUUUUGAGGAGGAGGUUAAACAAAUAUGUCAAUCUACUUCGGGUGAUAUGUUGGCUAAGCUAGAAGGUGUGAGGAAGGGCUUAGUGAGAUGGGCGGGUUUUGUUAGAAAUAAAAGAGAGGGCCUUAAAAGGAAUUUGACUAGAAAAUUGGAGGAGAUGAUGGGAAAGGAUAGAGAUGAUGAGAAUAUUGUUGAACUAUCUUAAAAUUCUCUUGUCAUAACUUGAAGUUUGUGUCAUUUAAUAUAAGAAUACAAUUAAUGCUUGCAAUAAUGUUGGCAGGUAUAAUUAUUGUUGUAUCAAACAAAACAAUCUCAUGUAUGACUUCAAAUAUAAAACAAAAUAAUAAUUAAUUCGAAUAAAGGUAAACCCUAAGAUACCAAUCACUCCAUUAAUAUUUCAUUUUUGAACAAAUAUAUUAAGUUGUAAAUGAUAUCUUGGUGUAGUAAUUAAACACCGACAAUAACCAUCACAUGUUUAUUACAACAGUUGCAAAUGUAAUUUUGUUAAAUAUUAGCCUCUAUUUAGGCCAGUCAAUAUUAACAUAACUUAAGUUACAUACACACAACCCCAAAUUUAUAAAAGUCCUAUUGUUAAAUUGAUUUGGUUCCUUUGACAUAGGAAAGCUGAAUUGCAUAAACAAUCAAUGUAUCCCCUAUUUUAUUCAUGUUUAUCACAAUGUUUGAAGGAGUGCUCACUCUUUUAGGGCGUGCUUACCAUUGAGGUUGAAAAGUAUCAUUAAACCCAAACAAUUAUUUCAAACCAAACAUUAAUUUUAAACUAGGAUUUUAGGCCAACCCAAAACUUCUAGCUUUUACUUUUUGGAAAGGUGCUUUUCAAUUAAAAAUCUUUUUAUUCCUCGUUAAACCUUCUACUUUAUAACAUAAUGUCUAAAAUGGAAAUUUUAUUUUUCUAAAAACACUUAUAGACAACAAUAAUAAUUACUAUCAAUUUUUUCAAAAUCACUUUUCUACGUCACUGUUAAACUUAAAUGAUAAUCUGGCCUUUUAACCACUCUUUUCUAACAGAGAGCUUAUCUCUUAGCAAUAGUUUGGGCAAACAAAAAUAAUGUAUAUAUGAAAACGAAUAUUGAAUUUGAAUGUACAAUCAAUUUUCUGAAUAAUUAAUUAAAAAGAAUGUUUGAAUUCAAAAAUUUUAAAAAUUUUGAUAAAAAAUGUGGAAGCGCAGACUUGUGUGAUGAAUAGUAAUGAUAAUAAUGAUAGAAGCUGUUUUCCUGGCACGAGGAACUUAUGGAAUUCGUCCAUUUGGUUCUAUAUUAGCCCUGUUGCUUCCGUGUUUAAGAGUAAAACGACAAAAUAUUAAGUAGAAAACACCAAACGAAUUGAACUAUUUUCUUAAGAUGGUGUCGGUAAUGUAUCUGUGGAUACCCAUUUGAAUUUUUAAAAAACUGAAAAAAUUAAUUUAUUUUUUAGAUUGAAUCAGCAGCAAGAAAAUAAGAAAAAAUACAACUUUGAGUUUGAGUUUGAGUUUGAAACUCUGAGAUUUCGCUCGGUAAUCUGAACGGUGAGGUGGUAUGUUUAAAUACGGAGAAUAAUAUAUAUUCGACUAGCAACAAUAUGAUGAAGUGAAAUAGGAACUGAAGAAAGGGUAAUUUAAAGUUUUGGUCAUUGUUUUAAAAGAUUACCUUCAGUCAUUAUAUUUUUCAGUUUUGGAAUUCCAGUACUACUUAAAUUGUAAUUAUUAAAUCUAUUUACUAUAAUGAUAUAAAAUUUUUAUAAAUAUUAUGUGAAAAUAAAUAAACACUUGUUUUUUUUAAAAAGCACUUAUUCACGGCACAAGGAACUUAUGAUGAAUAGUAAUGAUAAUAAUGAUAGAAGUUGUUUUUCUGGCACAAGGAACUUAUGAUGAAUAGUAAUGAUAAUAAUGAUAGAAGUUGUUUUCCUGGCACAAGCAACUUAUGGGAUUCGUCCAUUUGGUUCUAUAUUUCUCCGCUUGCUUGAGCGUUUAAGAGUUAAAGGACAAAUUAUUAAGUAGAAAACACCAAACGAAUUGGAAGGCUUUUGUCUUCUUCAAUUAGUAUGACCUAUAUUUCUUAUUAAACUUCGUAUUUUACAUUCAAUAUCAUCAUCACAAUCAUUUUAAUUUAUUUUCAUGAAUAAACUUUUAUGUCUCAUUUUAAUUGAAUCAUUAAAAAUUAUUAAUUGAAUUUUUUUAAGAUAGUACCGGUAAUGUGUCAAGUGAUAUCAAUUUAAAUUUUUAAAAAAAGUUGUUUGAAUUAAUUUGAUUACCGGUAAUGUGUCAAGUGAUAUCAAUUUAAAUUUUUAAAAAAAGUUGUUUGAAUUAAUUUGAUUUCGUUCGGUAAUCUAAACAGUGAGAUAGUGUGUUUAAUUACGGGGAAUAACAUAUAUCCAACUGGUGACAAUCUGGUGGAGCGAAACAGAUAUCGAAGAAAGAGUAGUUUAAUGAAUUUGGAGUGACUUCUGGGAAAUCUGAAUUAUAGAAGUGAACGAAGAGGAAAUCUCUUCUUUGGUGCCGUAAUCGACAUAAACAGCCAUUAUGAAUGACAACAUCGAUAAUUAUUGAGUACAAUGAUUAAAAUUUUCAGUUAAAAAAAAGGAAUGGAAAGGAAAACAAAAAGAAAAACGUGGAAAGAAAGAAAGAAGAAGAAUAAUUAAUUAAUAAAUAAAAAGAGAAUUGUGGGGGCGAUGCUUUUGAACAAAUCUUGAUUUAAACUAUAUAAAGAAAAUAUGCGUUAUAUAUAUAAUUAAUUAUGCACUUAUACUUAAUAUAUUAUAUAUUUAAUGUCAUAUUUUCAUAUUCUCGGGAAGUGGUAAUAUACAAGUACUUGAUUUGAUUUAUUUCUUGAUCGCUUCGUGAAUUUUAGGUUUGUAACAAUAGGGAUAGAAUUUCUUCAAUUCCAAUCGACUGGGCGUAUUGUGUCAAUUUUUUUGAGUAAUAUACCUAGAAAUACCGGUUAAUUCUUUAUAAACGCCGUUUCAAACACAACUGGUACACCCCAAAAUAACCGUUACUCAAACAUCUUUACUAUUGACCAUGAACCUCCUUUGAGUUUUUAAUUCACCCAACUUUUCUAUUUUCCAAUCAAAAGCGAAGAAGAAAGGAAUAAAAAAAAAAAGAAAGAAAUCAAAGUUGCUAACUCAAAACCAAAUCCUGAAAAAUUUGGUUGCAAUCAAUAUAGCAAGUCAAUAUAAAUUUAUAGUAAUAGCAAAUAAUAAGAAUAAGUAAUACAACGAUUUCUAACUCAAUUUAGAAUCAAAUUAGAGUAUGGUAUUUUCUUUAAUCAAUUAAUUGAAUUCAAAAAGUUCAAUUAAAAUAAAUUAAAUUGUAUAAAUUUUAUAAUUUUAAAUUAUUAUUUUUGUAUUAAUUUAAAAACAAAAUAAAUAUUAUAUACAAUAAUUUAGUUGCAGCAUGUCAGCUUGAAGUCUAAGACCUUAUAACAUAUAAAUUUAAUAGAUAAUUAAUAACUAAAAAAUUAAAUAGCAAAAGCAUAAUUGCGCCACUUCUCACCAUUUUAAUGUAUGCAACUUAUUAUAUAUUUAUAUAUAUUAUCAUUUCAUUUUAAAUAAUUUAUUUUUUAUAUUAAUUUUUAUAAAUUUAGGGAUAAAUCUUAAAAUUAUACAUAAACUUUAAUUUGGUGCAAUAUUUAUACACAUGAUACUCUAAUUGUGGUUCAAAUACAUACUUGAAACUUUAAUUUUGAUUUAAUCAUACACAUUUAAAUAAAUAAAUACAUCAAUUUUUUUUUAUAUUGGGUAAAUAUAAUUAUUUAUGUAUGCAAUAUAUAACAUAAAAUGAUGUUAUAUCAAUAAUUGUGUUAAUAAUUUACAAGAAUUGGAUCAAAUCAAAAUUUCAUGUAUAAAAUUGCACAAAAUCAAAGUUCAUGUAUACAAUUACACAUUAAACCAUAAUUCAUGUAUAGUUUUAGUAUUUAUCCCAUAAUUUAUUAAAUAAACUUUUUACCUAUAUCAUAUAUAGAGUUGUCUGUGAACCGAGCCAAGGAAUGCCCGCUCGAAAAAAUGAGAGGGUUUAAGAAAAAAAAUACCCAAAAAAGGGGGCUUGGAUAAAAAGACAAGGCCCGUUUAGAAAAUGAACCGGGCCUUUGCUAAGGUUUUUUUUGUCCAAGCUCAACCCGACCCAAAUUUUCAAUAAAAAACCCUACUGUUUUUACCGCUAUUUUCCCAUAUUUUGGUGUUGUUUUCUCACUUUUUACCACUGGUUUACUAUCAUUUCACUAUUAUGUUACUACUAUUUUUUUUGUUAAUGUUUGGAUAUUGUAUAACACUUGUUUUAUUGUUAAUUUUGUCAUUAUUUUAGAGGCAUUUGUUUGUUAUGUUGUACUCAUCUUAGUUUUUAUUUAAGUAUAAAAAAUUUUUAAAAUUUAUUUUUAAUUUAUUGGAAACAUGUAAUUUAAUAUUUGUAGUAUAUUUGGUGUAUUAUAAUAAAUAUUUAUUAUUAAAAUAUUAAUAUUGAAUAUUUUCAAUAAUAUGUGAAGAAUAUUUUUUAAAAUUAUUUUUUAAAAUUUAUUAUUAAAUUAAAAUUGAAAUAUUAAAUAAUUUAUUAAAACAAUUAAUUAUAUUAAUAAUUAAUUAUAUGACUAAAUAUAAACAAUUAAAUAUGUAUGUUUAAUAAUAUUGAAAAAUAUAAUAUUUUAUAUUAAUAUUUUAAAUAUUUUUAAAAAUAAAAAUAAAAGUUAUUUUAAUAUAAUAAUAUUAAGCUUGAUUUAAAUUAAUUUUUAUAUAAAAAUAAAAUUACCUAUAGAUGAGCUCAUUUUUAGAAAAUGACUUACACUUUUCAAAAGGAUAAGUCAUUUUAUAGGAAAAAGAGCUUAUUUUACGUUGACCUGUAAGUCAUUUUUCGUUGACCAAACUGUUUUCUGUAAAACAAACAUAGGAAAAUGCAGAAAAUAGUUUCCGUAAAACUUUUUACAUGUAAACAAACGGACCCUUAAUUCAAGCUUAUUCCAACAUAACCCACUUCACUAUUAGCAUGACUCUCCCUUAUACUAAGUUUAACCAUUAACCCUUCUCAUGAUUUCUAACAAAAAUUUUCAAGUUCUCGUUAAUGGCAACUUGUAUUAACUUCAACAAUAAGAAAUUCUAACUAUGGGGUUGGUUGUAUCAAGUUUCAUAGUUUAAAAAUCUAUAAAAAAAAUUUAUUGAGAAAAUAAUUUGUUUACCUUUGAUGGCCUUGAUGGAGAACAACUUGGUUUCUUCUUCUACUUAGUUUAAAGAAUGCAUGAAGAAGAAGAAGAUUUCCCCUCUCCCACUGUUUUAAAUAUAUAUAUAUAAAUAACCUAUUAAUCAAGGUAAUUAAGUCACUAAUUAACCUUAAUUAGCUAUGAUCUAAUGGCCAUAAACUUAUCAUGAGAAAAUUAGUGGAAAUGUGUGGCAUUGAUAAUGGUUUGCCAAUAAUCAAACUUUGGGCAUGGUAAUAUUGCAAUCAGGUUUUUGGUUUAAUUACACUUUUAAGUACUUGCUAAAUUCUGUAAUCAAUUCCCACUAGGUGGGUCACUUGAACAAUUGGGUCCAUGUACUAUAGUUACAACUUAUCCAAUUUAAUCAAUUAAUGAUUUAACUUUAUAAUUUCAUGUACAACACACAAACUCCUCCGGUAAAUUCUCGAGCUUAGUAUAAACACCCAUUAGAUAUUAGAACUCAUAACACAUUUAGAGAAUUUUGUGUUUACGUUUUGAGGGUUCUUUGAUUUCGGGUUUUUGAGGUUUAGUUUUAUCUCCAUCUUUUGUACUCUUCGUUCUUUUGCCAUUAUAGUAAAAUUAUCUUUACCCGUGGUUUUUUAUCCUCUUUGGAGGGGUUUUUCCACGUUAAAUUUGUGUGUUCAAUUUCUCAAUUUAUUCCGCUAUUUUUGUUACUUGUUGCUUAAUCGGGACGAUCCCUAACAUCAAUUAAAUCAAAUAUUUGUAUUUAAAGUUUUAACCCAACGUUAACUUUUUUUUUAUUUCUUCGUUUGUUGGUGGUGAUUAGGAGAUUGAUGGCCGGUCUUUGUGGUUGGUAGCUUUUAACACAAUGGCAAAGCCAAGGAGGCUUUAAAUGUUUAAAUGGAAUUUUUUUCAUUUAAGCUUCUUUAUAAUUUAUAAAAUUUUAAAUUAAUAAUAAUAAAAUUACAUUUUAAUCUUUUAAAAUUAAUAAAAAUGUGGAAGCACAUUUGUACGAUUAAUAAUAAUGAUAAGAUUUUUCCCACCACAUGGAAAUUUAUGGAAACGCCAUUGGGUUUUGUAUUUAUGUUUUAUUUGACACUCUUUUAAGUUUUAUUGGGGAGAUUUGCUUGAUUGUAAGUGAGCUAUUUUGGAGAGAAUAAUUUGUAACAAUUUAGAUUCAAUAUUCGGGUUGCAAAUAAAUAUAGAGUAAAGUAAUUUAGGCUUUAGCUAAUAGUUAAUAAGGUAAAUUGUAGAAUAAAAUCAUAUUCUAAACAAAACUUUAUAAAAUAAAAUUAAUGAAUCCGAACUUCAUUAACAAAUAUUUUAGGCAUUGCUUCACCUUAUCUCAAAAUUGUUCUGUAAUAAUCUAUUUUGUCUCGACCUUUUCAACAGAAUUUAAAAUGAAACUAUUUCUGAUAAGUGCAGACCAAAAACUUUUUCACGUACAAAUAAAUGGCAAGCGACCAUACUGUGGGCCCAAUGUCCCAACAAUCAUCUAAACUUUUUUUUAAUAAUAUGUAAUAAUUUAUAUACCAUAAAUGAAUAUUAAUUAAAAUAAUAUAAACAAAAUACGACUCUUUAAUAUAAUAUGGAUCCAAAUUGUUUCAUAUUUGAAAUCCAGUUUUUCAUAAUUUCACAUUUCAUAUUUUAUCUUAGAACAAAAAAAAAUUUGAACUUAAUAUUUGGCCUAUUAAUCAAUGGUGUUUAUUAUAUUUUAAGACUAUCGAAUUAAUCUAUCGACACUAGUUGUAUGGUAUAAUUUAAAUGGGUGUCUGUGGGUAUAUAAAUUUGAAAUUCUAUUGUAUCAAAGAAAAAUUUAGAAAAAAAAAGAAUUUGAAAUUUAAAAUAAAAAAUGAGAUUUGUGAUAAACCAUAAAGCUCAAAAAAGUUACAACAAAUAUGGUUAAUAUUAUUUAUAUAUAUACUUAAUAAAAGUAAAAAUAUCGAAAUUCCAAUAUUAUUUUUAUUUAAUAAAAUAUAAUUAAUAUAUUUUAUAUAAAAUUUAAAUAUUUUAUUGAAAUAUUAUGUUAGGUAAAUUUAUAAAUAAAAUUAAUUUUACUAAAAUUUGAGAUAAGAGAAUUAAAUUAAUAAAAGGCAUAUUUCAUAUUUUAUAGUUAUUAUAAAUAAAAAUUAUUAUAAAAAUAAAAAAUCAAUUCUACAACAUAAUGAAAUAUUUUUAUUAAAAAAACCAGAAAUGAUUGAUGGAAUAUAUUUCCAAUUUUCGACGUUCAUAAAAAAAAAAAAAGAGUGGUCCUAAUAAUUUAUUUAUUGGAAAAAAAAAAGUGGUCCUAUUAAUUUACCUCACAUUUGAAAUGUGUUAUAUGUAAUAAUAAUAAUAUCUAUAUAAAUUUUGGACGUUGAUCCUUUCCCAUCUCUAUAAAUUCGCAUGGAGAACUAAAGCAACACAUAUCAACACAAUUUAUAUAACCAUGAAAACCACAACAGCUUCGGUGUUUCUUCUUUUCAUCAUCUUCUCAGUCACACUAUCAUCCAUUUUGUUUGGUGUAGCCAACGCUACAAACGACCCUGUGCUCGACAUUGAUGGCAACGAGGUUCAAACUGGCACCCCAUACUACGUUGUGUCGUCGAUAUGGGGUGCUGGUGGUGGGGGGCUUGCCCUAGGUAGGCCUAGCGGAAACAAAUGCCCGGAAGUCGUUACUCAAAGACGAUCCGGUGACAAUGGUAUUCCGGUGAUAUUUUCUAAUUCGGACUCCAACGAUGGAGUUGUUCGCCAAUCCUCUGACAUAAACAUAGAGUUCAUUCCCCUCAGACCCAAACUUUGCCGAACAACAACGGUGUGGAAGGUCGAUGAUUACGACCAUUCAGCCGGAAAAUGGUGGGUGAUAACCGAUGGAGUUAAAGGGAACCCGGGUGCCAACACUUUGACCAGUUGGUUUAGAAUAGAGAAGGUGUUUGAUUUGAAUUACAAAUUUAAGUACUGCCCCACAGUAUGUGGAACAUGCCCAGCUUUAUGCAACGAAAUUGGGAAAGACUCAGAUGGAGAAAUGGUACGUUUUGCUCUCUCCACUGGCCCUGGAUGGUCAUUUUACUUUAAGAAAGUUGAAAAAUCAGCCAUGGAGAUUGAACAAGUUGUUCAUAUUUAGAUUGAAAGCAAUCAUUCUGCAUGAACUAGUAGUUAUUAUAUAAUAUUAGCUUCAAGUAAAUAAUGCUGAGAGAACUGAUUGUUAAGAUUGCCUUGUUUGAAGCAGCAGCAUGUAUAUAUAUGCUUGCUUACAAGGUUUGUCUCUCAGAGUCCUUCUCUUUGUACUCUUUUCAGCUUAAUGAAUAAACUCUUUACUUAUUUACUUCUUUUGUUGCCAUUGAUUCUAGUAUUAGACUCAUUAACUUAGAUACAAUGACUUGGAAUUAACCAAAAAGUUGUAUAUAUAUAUAUAUAAAAAGAGUGUGAGGGAGGAAAAUAGAAUACCAAGUACCAAGUGGAAAAUGUUAAUACUAGGAUUCAAAGGGAUUUCACUGGACAACAGGAAUGGAAUAGUGGUUGGGUGGUUAGGGCAUUUUAUCUUUAGAGAUAAAAAAAGGUUGGUUCAUGUUCGGAGUUUGUGGCUACUCCUUCAAUAAUGUUAUUUUUAAAGUUUAAACUUGCGUCACCUUUUAAACACGUAAUAUAUCUUACCAUUACACCCAAUAAUAUUAACUAUUUACUCAAUUGUAUUCUAUCCUAUUAUUAAUUGAUGAUUGUUAUAUAUAUUAAGUUUAAGAUGAAUUUUCUUAUUAAUGUAUAUCAAUGGAAUCAAAUAUUUGUAUUUAAAAUUUUAACUCCACACUAACUUUUUUUUUUUGUUCGUUUGCUGGCGGUGAUUAGGAGACUAAUGGUUGGUCUUUGUGGCUAGUAGCUUUUAACUCAAUAGCAAACUCGAGGUUGAUAGGGGCAGACUUCACUUAAAUGGAAAAUUUCUUAUUUAAAUUCUUUUAUAAUUUAUAAAAUUUUAAAUAAAUAAUAAUAAAAUUACAAUUUAAUUCUCAAAAAUUGAUAAAAAUGUACAAGCAAAUUUGAACAAUUAAUGAUAAUAAUGACAAGAAGUUGUUUCCUGCCACAUGGAAAUUUAUGGAAUCGUCCAUUUGGUUUUAUAUUUGUCCAUUUGCUUGAAUGGUUAAGAGGAGAAAAACAAAUUAUAAUUAAGUAUACAAAACCAAACGAAUUUCAAGGGUUUUCUCUUCAAUUAUUGUCGACUUUAGCUAAUUAUUAGUAAUUUUUUUAUUAUUUAAUUAUAAAAAAUUAUAAAAUAGUGACUUAACUGUAAAAAAUAUAUAUAUAAAAUAAUCAUCUAACUAUUUACUCUUUUUUUUAUCAUCACCUGAUUAAUGGUGGUAAUUUUUAUGCUUGACAUAAUAGUAACUUUAAUCAUUAAUAAUUAUACAUUAUGUCAAUUUAGUCUUGAUUUUAAAAAAUUUAACCCUCAAUAUUUACACAUUGUGUAAUUUAAUAUUUUCAUUGUUUUGUUUUUCUUUGCUAAAAAUAAAUUAUAAAAAUGACAAAAUAUGCAUAAAAAUAAUAAUGCCGGCACCGACUACAUGUGUUAUUAUAGAUUUAUAACAAUUAUCUUUUUAUAAAAAUAUUUUAUUAUAUAUAUAAUAAGCACUUCUCUGUAACAAAUGGAAUUAUUAUAAAGAAGGUUUAAUGUAAUUUUCUAUUUUCUAUUUUCAUAAUAAUAAUAAUAAAAGAAAAGAAAAAAGUGGUUCAAUUAAUUUACCUGGUCAUCCUUUCCCAUCUCUAUAAAUUGACAUGGAGAUCUAAAGCAACACAUACCAACACAAUUGAUCUGUAUAACCAUGAAAACCACAAAAGCAUCAGUGUUUCUUCUUUUCAUCAUCUUCUCAGUCACACCAUCAUCCUUUUUGUUUGGUGUGGCCAACGCUACAAAUGAACCUGUGCUCGACACUGAUGGCAACGAAGUCCAAACAGGCACCGAAUACUACGUUGUGUCGGCGAUAUGGGGUGCUGGUGGUGGUGGGCUUGCCCUAGGCAGGCCAAGCGGAAACCCAUGCCCGGAAGUCGUUGCUCAAAGACGAUCUGGUGACAACGGUAUACCGGUGAUAUUUUCUAGUUCGGACUCCGACGAUGGAGUUGUUCGCCUAUCCUCUGACAUAAACAUAGAGUUUGUUCCGCUCAGACCCAGACUUUGCCGAACAACAACGGUGUGGAAGGUCGAUGAUUACGACCAUUCAGCCGGAAAAUGGUGGGUGAUAACCGAUGGGAUUAAAGGGAACCGGGGUGCCGACACUUUGACCAGUUGGUUUAGAAUAGAGAAG
rnacentral:lncRNA from 1 species